rnacentral:rRNA from 1 species
AUUGAACGCUGGCGGCAGGCCUAACACAUGCAAGUCGAACGAGUGGCGGACGGGUGAGUAAUGUCUGGGAAACUGCCUGAUGGAGGGGGAUAACUACUGGAAACGGUAGCUAAUACCGCAUACCAUCAGCUGUGCCCAGAUGUGAUGAGCUUGUUGGUGGGGUAAUGGCUCACCAAGGCGACGAUCCCUAGCGGGUCUGAGAGGAUGAACAGCCACACUGGAGCUGAGACACGGUCCAGACUCCUGCGGGAGGCAACAGUGGGGAAUAUUGCACAAUGGGCGAAAGCCUGAUGCAGCCAUGCCGCGUGUAUGAAGAAGGCCUUCGGGUUGUAAAGUACUUUCAGCGGGGAGACGUUCCCCGCAGAAGAAUCACCGGCUAACUCCGGGCCAGCAGCCGCGGUAAUUC